rnacentral:lncRNA from 10 species
CUACAACAAAACUGAUGACAAGGCAUCCCCCAGGAACCUCAAAACACAAAUGGGAAAUACACAUGGGAGGAGGGAGCAAACUACCCGAAGUCAGCAUACCUGUGUGGAAACAUCUCCUGUCAGGAGCAAGCAGAGAGCAGUGGCACCUGCCAGGCCUCAGUUACUGGUAAGGCUGGAGCACUGGCCAAGUGAGAACAGAAGCUGAAGCUGGGAGAGACUUGGAAACAUGCCUCCUUAUCCAAUUCUAGAAAAACCAACUCCAUGUGAGAUAAACGACAGAAGCAACUGAGAUAUAAACCCAUACACAUAAUCACAUAAAAUAAGCUAGAAGCAGAAAAACAUACCUACAGAGAGGGAGAGCAAGUGACAAAUUUAGAAGAUAAGGCAAUGCAGAUCCCGUAAACCUAAAAUCUAAGUAUCUAAAGAAGAAAAUCCAAGCAAGGGAAAAGCAUAAACACUAACAUUCAAUAAAAACUUUCCUGAGAUAAAAAAAAACUGAUCUCUGUAUUAAUAGGGUAUAUCACAUACCUAAGUAAUUUGCCCCCAAACAACUAACAAUGAGAAAUGGUCAAUAAAAGUACUUAUUUUCAAAAGAAGGAUAAAAUAUUUUAAGAAUAAAAUCAAAAUUAUGAUGUCACUUAAAAAAGAAAAUUAAAUUGUCAUAAAAUUUUCAAUGCCAGCAUUUCUAAUUCAA